rnacentral:rRNA from 1 species
CAGCCGCCGCGGGAAUACGAAGGGGGCUAGCGUUGCUCGGAAUGACUGGGCGUAAAGGGCGCGUAGGCGGCGAUCAAAGUCAGGCGUGAAAUUCCCGGGCUCAACCUGGGGGCUGCGCUUGAUACUUGGUUGCUUGAAUGGGGAAGAGGGUCGUGGAAUUCCCAGUGUAGAGGUGAAAUUCGUAGAUAUUGGGAAGAACACCGGUGGCGAAGGCGGCGACCUGGUCCUUGACUGACGCUGAGGCGCGAAAGCGUGGGGAGCAAACAGGAUUAGAUACCCGGGUAGUCCCUGUCUCUUAUAA